UACGUAGGGUGCAAGCGUUGUCCGGAAUUAUUGGGCGUAAAGAGCUCGUAGGCGGUUUGUCGCGUCUGCUGUGAAAACUCGGGGCUUAACUCCGGGCCUGCAGUGGGUACGGGCAGACUAGAGUGCGGUAGGGGAGAAUGGAAUUCCCGGUGUAGCGGUGAAAUGCGCAGAUAUCGGGAAGAACACCCGUGGCGAAGGCGGUUCUCUGGGACGGUACUGACGCUGAGACGCGAAAGCGUGGGGAGCGAACAGG
rnacentral:rRNA from 1 species